AGUGAACGCUGGCGGUAGGCCUAACACAUGCAAGUCGAACGGCAGCACAGUAAGAGCUUGCUCUUACGGGUGGCGAGUGGCGGACGGGUGAGGAAUACAUCGGAAUCUACUUUUUCGUGGGGGAUAACGUAGGGAAACUUACGCUAAUACCGCAUACGACCUACGGGUGAAAGCAGGGGAUCUUCGGACCUUGCGCGAUUGAAUGAGCCGAUGUCGGAUUAGCUAGUUGGCGGGGUAAAGGCCCACCAAGGCGACGAUCCGUAGCUGGUCUGAGAGGAUGAUCAGCCACACUGGAACUGAGACACGGUCCAGACCCCUACGGGAGGCAGCGGUGGGGAAUAUUGGACAAUGGGCGCAAGCCUGAUCCAGCCAUACCGCGUGGGUGAAGAAGGCCUUCGGGUUGUAAAGCCCUUUUGUGGGGAAAGAAAAGCAGCAGGUUAAUACCCCGCUGUUCUGACGGUACCCAAAGAAUAAGCACCGGCUAACUUCGUG
rnacentral:rRNA from 1 species